AACGUAGGUUCCGAGCGUUAUCCGGAUUUACUGGGCGUAAAGCGCGUUCAGGCGGUUUGGCAAGUCGGGCAUGAAAUCUCUCGGCUCAACCGGGAGAGGUUGUCCGAUACUGUUAGACUGGAGGGCAGUAGAGGGUGGUGGAAUUCCGGGUGUAGUGGUGAAAUGCGUAGAGAUCCGGAGGAACACCAGUGGCGAAAGCGGCCACCUGGACUGCACCUGACGCUGAAAACGGCGAAAAGGCUAGGGGAGCGGAACGGGGAUUAAGCAAACCC
rnacentral:rRNA from 1 species